rnacentral:rRNA from 1 species
UGAGUACGAGAUGCUACGGCAUCGAAGCAGUCUAUGUCAUACUUCCAAGAAAAGCUUGCACUGUCAGAAACAGAUAAUGCCUGUACCAUAACCGACACAGGUGGGUAGGUAGAGUAUACUAAGGGGCGCGAGAUAACUCUCUCUAAGGAACUCGGCAAAAUGACUCCGUAACUUCGGGAGAAGGAGUGCCUUAUUUUUAAGGUUGCAAUAACAAGAUCCAAGCAACUGUUUACCAAAAACACAGGUCUCCGCUAAGUCGUAAGACGAUGUAUGGGGGCUGACGCCUGCCCAGUGCCAGAAGGUUAAAGAAGUCGGUCAGCAUUCGCGAAGCUGGUAACUGAAGCCCUGGUGAACGGCGGCCGUAACGAUAACGGUCCUAAGGUAGCGAAAUUCCUUGUCGGGUAAGUUCCGACCCGCACGAAAGGCGUAAUGAUUUGGAUACUGUCUCGGAGAGGGGCUCGGUGAAAUAGACUUGUCUGUGAAGAUGCGGACUACCUGCACCUGGACAGAAAGACCCUAUGAAGCUUUACUGUAACUUGAAAUUGAAAUUGGACUUUAUUUGCGCAGUAUAGGUGGGAGGCGUUGAAAAUAUUCUUGCGGGAAUAUUGGAGCCAUCAGUGAGAUACCACUCUUGUAAUGUUAGAUUUCUAACUUUAUAUCAUUAUCUGGUUAAAGAACAGUUUCAGGCGGGCAGUUUGACUGGGGCGGUCGCCUCCCAAAUGGUAACGGAGGCGCACAAAGGUUUCCUCUGAACGGGUAGAAAUCGUAUCUAGAGUGUAAAGGCAUAAGGAAGCUUGACUGUGAGACCUACAAGUCGAGCAGGGACGAAAGUCGGUCUUAGUGAUCUGACGGUGCUGAGUGGAAAGGCCGUCACUCAACGGAUAAAAGUUACUCUAGGAUAACAGGCUGAUCUCCCCCAAGAGUUCACAUCGACGGGGAGGUUUGGCACCUCGAUGUCGGCUCAUCGCAUCCUGGGGCGGUAGUACGUCCCAAGGGUUGGGCUGUUCGCCCAUGAAAGCGGUACGCGAGCUGGGUUCAGAACGUCGUGAGACAGUUCGGUCCAUAUCCGGUGUAGGCGUUAGAAUAUUGAGAGGAGCCUUCUUUAGUACGAGAGGACCGAGAAGGACAUACCUCUGGUGUACCAGUUAUCGUGCCAACGGUAAACGCUGGGUAGCUAUGUAUGGAGUGGAUAACCGCUGAAAGCAUCUAAGUGGGAAGCCCACCUCAAGAUAAGUAUUCUCAUG